GGGGGCGGAGUUUGGGAGCCUGGGAGGAGUCUCAGGCAGGAGAGGGCGUCAUUGUGUGAUGAGGGAGGGGAUUAGGGAGCAAAGGCGGUAGGAGUCCUAAGUGUGGACACUGUGUGAUGAGAAGAAAGGGUUAAAUCAGCCCAGGGGCUUCAGCUGCUGGACAGAGCCUCGGUUUUGGGACUAGGAGGACGGCCCCCCCACGCCUCCCAGUAAUCCGGAAGCAGGAAGUCUUUCAGCUAUGGUCCCCCUGCCCGCCACUGAAGCUGAGGUCACUUUGCCCUCCCUUGAAGCUGAGAUCCCUCCGCCUUCCCUGCGUCAGAGAUCCCUGUCCCUUCCCCGGGUGCUGAGAUCAUCCUCCCUUGCCUGCAGCUGAGCUCUCUCUGCCUUCUGGAAGCCCUCUCUGUGCACGCAGGUCCCAGGUUGAAUCUCUGAGAUCAGGACCAGGGCCUUUAUUACUGCUUUGGGGCCUCACCCUCUGGACAUCCUGGUAGGUCAGCCUCCUGCACAGAAAGAGACUAGAGAUCCCUCUCUGGGAUCCUUCUUCCCCAGUUCAGUCUGCAGAAGACCAAAGCCUGGCCCAAUCAGGGAGUCUGGAGCCAGACGGAAUGGCCCCUGGGAGCCCCAGCCCCCCAGCCCAGGUGAGUACGGUCUGUCCAGAGCCUGACCCACAGCAGCCAAUGUGAUCGUUUCCAUAGGAGGACAGUCUGUGAAGCUGACUAACCCUUACUCACAGACUGUUUCUUCACAAAAGUAGGCUCCAAAUGGAAUAAGGUAGUCACAGCACUGCCCUGCUUUCUUCCACGUUUUAAAUGGAUUCACUGGAACUUGGAUACCUGCAGCACUAACUCCCCUGCUGGUUUUUAAUUUUCCCUCAUCAGAAGAAGUCCCAUCUGUCUUCCCCCAUCUUCCCUAAUCCUCCCAUUUAUCAUUUCUUGGGUCCACUCAGUGCUUGUUGAGUGGUUUUUUAGUUGUGUUCAAUUCUUGAAUCUUUGUGAUCCCAUUUGGGUUUUUCUUGGCAGAGAGGCUUUGUUGUUUCCUUCUCCAGCUCAUUUUCCAGAUGAGGACACUGGGGACAAAAGGGCUGGCGUGGCCUGCUCAGGGUCACACAGCUGGGAACUCUAGCUACAUUUAGGAAAUGGAUGGGUUGUGCCAGGCAGUGUUCAAAACUGCCCUGGACUCAAUGAAGGAAAAAACAAUA